CCUACGGGUGGCAGCAGUGGGGAAUAUUGCACAAUGGGGGAAACCCUGAUGCAGCGACGCCGCGUGAGUGAAGAAGUAUUUCGGUACGUACAGCUCUAUCUGCAGGGAAGAAAAUGACGGUACCUGACUAAGAAGCCACGGCUAACUACGUGCCAGCAGCCGCGGUAACACGUAGGGGGCAAGCGUUAUCCGGGUUUACUGGGUGGAAAGGGAGCGUAGACGGCAGCGCAAGUCUGGAGUGAAAUCCCAUGGCUUAACCAUGGAACUGCUUUGGAAACUGUGCAGCUAGAGUGCAGGAGAGGGAAGCGGAAUUCCUAGUGUAGCGGUGAAAUGCGUAGAUAUUAGGAGGAACACCAGUUGCGAAGGCGGCUUACUGGACUGUAACUGACGUUGAGGCUCGAAAGCGUGGGGAGCAAACAGGAUUAGAUACCCUUGUAGUC
rnacentral:rRNA from 1 species